GACGGACGCUGGCGGCGUGCUUAACACAUGCAAGUCGAACGGAAAGGCCCUGCUUGCAGGGUACUCGAGUGGCGAACGGGUGAGUAACACGUGGGUGAUCUGCCCUGCACUUCGGGAUAAGCCUGGGAAACUGGGUCUAAUACCGGAUAGGAGCCAUUUUUAGUGUGAUGGUUGGAAAGUUUUUUCGGUGUAGGAUGAGCUCGCGGCCUAUCAGCUUGUUGGUGGGGUAAUGGUCUACCAAGGCGGCGACGGGUAGCCGGCCUGAGAGGGUGGACGGCCACAUUGGGACUGAGAUACGGCCCAGACGCCUACGGGAGGCAGCAGUGGGGAAUAUUGCACAAUGGGCGCAAGCCUGAUGCAGCGACGCCGCGUGGGGGAUGACGGCCUUCGGGUUGUAAACUCCUUUCGCUAGGGACGAAGCUUUUUGUGACGGUACCUAGAUAAGAAGCACCGGCUAACUACGUG
rnacentral:rRNA from 1 species